rnacentral:tRNA from 1 species
GCCCUCGUAGCUCAGUGGAGAGAGCGCGAGUUUGCGAUGCUCGAGGCGCAGGUUCAAUUCCUGCCGAGGGCG